rnacentral:rRNA from 1 species
GACGAACGCUGGCGGCGUGCUUAACACAUGCAAGUCGAACGGAAAGGCCCUGCUUUUGUGGGGUGCUCGAGUGGCGAACGGGUGAGUAACACGUGAUUAACCUGCCCUUGACUUUGGGAUAACUUCAGGAAACUGGGGCUAAUACCGGAUAGGAGCUCCUGCUGCAUGGUGGGGGUUGGAAAGUUUCGGCGGUUGGGGAUGGACUCGCGGCUUAUCAGCUUGUUGGUGGGGUAGUGGCUUACCAAGGCUUUGACGGGUAGCCGGCCUGAGAGGGUGACCGGCCACAGUGGGACUGAGAUACGGCCCAGACUCCUACGGGAGGCAGCAGUGGGGAAUAUUGCAAAAUGGGCGGAAGCCUGAUGCAGCAACGCCGCGUGCGGGAUGACGGCCUUCGGGUUGUAAACCGCUUUCGCCUGUGACGAAGCGUGAGUGACGGUAAUGGGUAAAGAAGCACCGGCUAACUAAGUG